rnacentral:rRNA from 1 species
GAUGAACGCUAGCUACAGGCUUAACACAUGCAAGUCGAGGGGCAGCAUGAACUUAGCUUGCUAAGUUUGAUGGCGACCGGCGCACGGGUGAGUAACACGUAUCCAACCUGCCGAUGACUCGGGGAUAGCCUUUCGAAAGAAAGAUUAAUACCCGAUGGCAUAGUUCUUCCGCAUGGUGGAACUAUUAAAGAAUUUCGGUCAUCGAUGGGGAUGCGUUCCAUUAGGUUGUUGGCGGGGUAACGGCCCACCAAGCCUUCGAUGGAUAGGGGUUCUGAGAGGAAGGUCCCCCACAUUGGAACUGAGACACGGUCCAAACUCCUACGGGAGGCAGCAGUGAGGAAUAUUGGUCAAUGGACGAGAGUCUGAACCAGCCAAGUAGCGUGCAGGAUGACGGCCCUAUGGGUUGUAAACUGCUUUUAUAAGGGAAUAAAGUGAGUCUCGUGAGACUUUUUGCAUGUACCUUAUGGAUAAGGACCGGCUAAUUCCGUG